AUUGAACGCUGGCGGCAUGCCUUACACAUGCAGGUCGAACGGCAGCACGGGAGCAAUCCUGGUGGCGAGUGGCGAACGGGUGAGUAAUGUAUCGGAACGUGCCCAGUCGUGGGGGAUAACGUAGCGAAAGCUACGCUAAUACCGCAUACGAUCUAUGGAUGAAAGCGGGGGAUCGCAAGACCUCGCGCGAUUGGAGCGGCCGAUAUCAGAUUAGGUAGUUGGUGGGGUAAAGGCUCACCAAGCCGACGAUCUGUAGCUGGUCUGAGAGGACGACCAGCCACACUGGGACUGAGACACGGCCCAGACUCCUACGGGAGGCAGCAGUGGGGAAUUUUGGACAAUGGGCGCAAGCCUGAUCCAGCAAUGCCGCGUGCAGGAUGAAGGCCUUCGGGUUGUAAACUGCUUUUGUACGGAACGAAACGGCGAGCUCUAAUACAGUUUGCUAAUGACGGUACCGUAAGAAUAAGCACCGGCUAACUACGCGCCAGCCGCCGCGGUAA
rnacentral:rRNA from 1 species